AUGCCUGAAGGAACUGACACCUGGAAAUUGAAACAAUUAUCCACCCACCCCAAGUUACACUGUUGUUGUUUAUUAAUUCAGUCGCUUCCGACUCUUCAUGACCUCAUGGACCAGCCCUGUCAGCCAUGGCCACCCCCAGCUCCUUCAAGCCCAAGCCAGUCACUUCAAGGAUACCAUCCAUCCAUCUUGCCCUUGGUGGUCCAUGAGGUCACAAAGAGUCGGAGACGACUAAAUGACUGAGCAGCAGCAGGAAUCACUAGAAAUCACUGUGAACUAUAGAGACAGGUAAUGGUGUAUUUAUUCACUGUGAAUCUUGGGGGGGGUUUUUUGGCCAGUGUAGACACAUCCUUGGCUCUCCUUGGACAUGUAGGGGUCUUCAUAUUUAAGAAUGUUUGAUUAAAAAUGGAUGAGAAAUGCAGGUUGUCCAUCCUUUGCAAGUACGUGCAAGCAGAAAAAUUAAUAUUCGCCUGCCUGCCAAUUUUGAGUCCCCAAAUCUUGAAACUAAUUCUGGGGUCCUUGUGCUUUAAUCUUUUUGGUCCUUUAAGUUUGGUCUUACAGCAGUGUUAGAAAUAGCUCCUCAAAGCCUUGAUUAAUAACAUUCUGGACAAGACGUUUUUGGUGAAGUAGCAAAUGUUAUCAAGAUACCUGCAAGCAGGCGCACCUUACAAAUUUUCAAAGAUAAAGCCAUAUACACAAUACAAUAUAUCCCCCUUUCUCCGUGAUGCCACCCCCUUAGUUAGUUGCCCUCAGUGGUGCAAUGGGUUAAACCCGUGUGUCGGCAGGAUGCUGACUGAACAAUCGGCGGUUUGAAUCCGGGGAGCGGGUGAGCUCCCAUCUGUCAGCUCCAGCUUCCGAUGCGGCGACAUGAGAGAAGCCUCCCACAGGAUGGUAAAACAUCCAAGCAUCCCCUGGGCAACGUCCUUGCAGACGGCCAACUCUCUCACACCGGAAACGACUUGUAGUUUCUCAAGUCGCUCUUGAUACACACACACACACAAAAAACCUUAGUUCACAUCAGAAGCAUUGUCAAAAGAGCCUUUGACCAAUCUCAUUUUCCCUAACACAAAGCCAGCUACUGCCAUAUAUGGUGUUCCUUCCGUCAGGUGUCCUUUAGCACAUCUGCACAUCUCUCUCUUCCCUCUUAAUAUUAUUUUAAUUAUCUCAAUUUUAAGUGACUGAGUCCUCAACUUUAAGUGACCGAUCUCAACAGUCCUUAAAUUUUCAGUUCUUCCAGCAUUAACAGCCUGCUUUUAUUCAAACCUAAUUUCUUCCUUUGCCUCACCUGCCUUUAGCAUCAAUUAUUUCCUUUUCUGUAGGAAGUCUGUGGAACAUCUGCUGCUCUCGUAUCUAUAACUUGUCAGCUAUUACCUAUUGUAAACAAUCAGACAGGCUAAAAGCAUUUUUAACAGAAACUAUUUAUCCCUACUAAAAAACAGCAUUGGGUCUAUUUCUUACAGCAGUGAUUAGAGAAGGAAACAGUAGAGCUUCCUUCAAAACAGCAGGUGAACUCCUGGAUGACAAUAGUAGAGUUUACCAUGAGAUGUUCACUUCCUUAUAGUUCUUUAACUAUCUGCAUGGUUGACUUCUCGUUUUGACUACACAUAACUAUCCCAAGUCAAAUGACACUUACGAUUCUCAGUUCAGUGUUCCAAUGCCACCCGUGUUAUAGACUCUUUUUAAAGUGAGAAACACUGGACAAAGUUUAAGUACUAUCAGUUUUAUACUCCCUCCUAAAUCUACUGUUUACGUAAAUUGCAUAGAUGAGUUGUAGAUCAUAAGAUAAACAAUGCCAUGAUAGGAGACUGAUUAGACCUAUUGCUGCCAGUAUAAACUUGGCUUGAAUUAAGAAAUUGUGAUCAACCGGAGCCUUCUCUAUUCCCACGAUCUCUGGCUCUGUAGUAUCACAUCUUCCAA
ensembl:lncRNA